rnacentral:rRNA from 1 species
ACGGCUCAGUAACACGUGGACAACCUACCCUGAGGUCGGGGAUAAACCCGGGAAACUGGGUAUAAUACCCGAUAGAUCUAGAUCGCUGGAAUGCUUUUAGGUCUAAAGUUCCGACGCCUCAGGAUGGGUCUGCGGCCUAUCAGGGUAGUAGUGGGUGUAAAGUACCUACUAGCCUACGACGGGUACGGGUUGUGAGAGCAAGAGCCCGGAGAUGGAUUCUGAGACACGAAUCCAGGCCCUACGGGGUGCAGCAGGCGCGAAACCUUUACAAUGCUGGCAGCAGCGAUAAGGGGACCUCGAGUGCUACGAUACAAUCGUGGCUGUCUAGUUGCCUAAAAAGCAAUUGAUAGCAAGGGCCGGGCAAGACCGGUGCCAGCCGCCGCGGUAACACCGGCGGCUCGAGUGGUAACCGCUAUUAUUGGGUCUAAAGGGUCUGUAGCCGGCUUAGUUAGUCUCUUGAGAAAUCUGGCCGCUCAACGGUCAGGCGUUCAGGGGAUACUGCUAAAGCUCGAGACCGGGAGAGGUGAGAGGUACUUCAGGGGUAGGGGUGAAAUCUUGUAAUCCUUGAAGGACCACCAGUGGCGAAGGCGUCUCACCAGAACGGAUCUGACGGCAAGGGACGAAAGCUAGGGGCACGAACCGGAUUAGAUACCCGGGUAGUCCUAGCCGUAAACGAUACUCGCUAGGUGUCGGCCACGGUGCGACCGUGGUCGGUGCCGUAGGGAAGCCGUGAAGCGAGCCACCUGGGAAGUACGGCCGCAAGGCUGAAACUUAAAGGAAUUGGCGGGGGAGCAC